UACGUAGGGGGCUAGCGUUGUCCGGAAUCAUUGGGCGUAAAGCGCGCGUAGGCGGCCCGGUAAGUCCGUUGUAAAAGUCAAAGGCUCAACCUUUGAAAGCCGAUGGAUACUGCCGGGCUAGAGUCCGGAAGAGGCGAGUGGAAUUCCUGGUGUAGCGGUGGAAUGCGCAGAUAUCAGGAGGAACACCGGUGGCGAAGGCGGCUUCCUGGACCGACACUGACGCUGAGGCGCGAAAGCUAGGGAGCAAACGGG
rnacentral:rRNA from 1 species